rnacentral:hammerhead_ribozyme from 1 species
ACCUUGCUGAUGAGUGCCAAGUAGCACGAAACCCGCGUUCAAGGU